GAUGAACGCUGGCGGCGUGCUUAACACAUGCAAGUCGAACGGUGAAGCAGAGCUUGCUCUGUGGAUCAGUGGCGAACGGGUGAGUAACACGUGAGCAAUCUGCCCCUGACUCUGGGAUAAGCGCUGGAAACGGCGUCUAAUACCGGAUACGAGCUGCGACCGCAUGGUCAGUAGCUGGAAAGAAUUUCGGUCAGGGAUGAGCUCGCGGCCUAUCAGCUUGUUGGUGAGGUAAUGGCUCACCAAGGCGUCGACGGGUAGCCGGCCUGAGAGGGUGACCGGCCACACUGGGACUGAGACACGGCCCAGACUCCUACGGGAGGCAGCAGUGGGGAAUAUUGCACAAUGGGCGAAAGCCUGAUGCAGCAACGCCGCGUGAGGGAUGACGGCCUUCGGGUUGUAAACCUCUUUUAGCAGGGAAGAAGCGAAAGUGACGGUACCUGCAGAAAAAGCGCCGGCUAACUACGUGCCAGCAGCCGCGGUAAUACGUAGGGCGCAAGCGUUAUCCGGAAUUAUUGGGCGUAAAGAGCUCGUAGGCGGUCUGUCGCGUCUGCUGUGAAAACCCGAGGCUCAACCUCGGGCCUGCAGUGGGUACGGGCAGACUAGAGUGCGGUAGGGGAGAUUGGAAUUCCUGGUGUAGCGGUGGAAUGCGCAGAUAUCAGGAGGAACACCGAUGGCGAAGGCAGAUCUCUGGGCCGUAACUGACGCUGAGGAGCGAAAGGGUGGGGAGCAAACAGGCUUAGAUACCCUGGUAGUCCACCCCGUAAACGUUGGGAACUAGUUGUGGGGUCCAUUCCACGGAUUCCGUGACGCAGCUAACGCAUUAAGUUCCCCGCCUGGGGAGUACGGCCGCAAGGCUA
rnacentral:rRNA from 1 species